rnacentral:rRNA from 1 species
AGCAUUAUGAAUACAUAUAAAGUGAAACCUGCCCAGUGAAUAUUUUAACGGCCGCAGUACCUUGACUGUGCUAAGGUAGCAUAAUAAAUUGACUUUUAAUUGAAGCCUUGAAUGAAAGGGAUAACGGAUAGUUUCUGUCUUUAAUAUAAUUUAUUAUAAGUUACUUAAAAGGUGCAAAUACCUUUAAAUAUUUAAUAGACGAGAAGACCCUAGGAGUUUAUUUAACAAAUAAAAUUUGAAAUAUUUUGUUGGGGCGACAUUACAGCAUUAAUAAACCUGUAAAUUUUAAAAUAACUAAACGAAAAUUUUUAAUUAUGAUUAAACUACCCUAGGGAUAACAGCAUAAUUUAAUUUUAAGUUUGUGACCUCGAUGUUGGACUAGGAAUUUUUAAUAUUAGUAGUAUUAAAAAAAUGUUCUGUUCGAACAAUACUUCCUACAU